rnacentral:rRNA from 1 species
AUUGAACGCUGGCGGCAGGCCUAACACAUGCAAGUCGAGCGGAGCGGCGGACGGGUGAGUAAUGCCUAGGAAUCUGCCUGGUAGUGGGGGAUAACGUCCGGAAACGGGCGCUAAUACCGCAUACUAUCAGAUGAGCCUAGGUCGGAUUAGCUAGUUGGUGGGGUGAAGGCCUAACAAGGCGACGAUCCGUAACUGGUCUGAGAGGAUGAUCAGUCACACAGGAACUAAGAAACGAUCCAAAGUCCGCAGGGAGGCAGCAGUGGGGAAUAGGGGACAAUGGGCGAAAGGCUGAUGACGCCAUGGCGCGUGUGUGAAGAAGGUUUUCGGAUUGUAAAGCGCUUUAAGAUGGGAGGCGUUACCAACAGAAUAAGCACCGGCUAACUACGUGCCAGCAGCCGCGGUAAUAC